rnacentral:rRNA from 1 species
UACAGAGGGUGCGAGCGUUAAUCGGAAUUACUGGGCGUAAAGCGUGCGUAGACGGCUAUCUAAGUCGGGUGUGAAAGCCCCGGGCUCAACCUGGGAAUUGCAUUCGAGACUGAAUAGCUAGGGUACGGUAGAGGGAAGCGGAAUUUCCGGUGUAGCGGUGAAAUGCGUAGAUAUCGGAAGGAACAUCAGUGGGGAAAGCGGCUUCCUGGACCAGUACCGACGUUCAGGCACGAAAGCGUGGGGAGCAAACAGG